rnacentral:rRNA from 1 species
UGGGGAAUAUUGCACAAUGGGCGCAAGCCUGAUGCAGCCAUGCCGCGUGUGUGAAGAAGGCCUUCGGGUUGUAAAGCACUUUCAGCGAGGAGGAAGGCAGUCGUGUUAAUAGCACGGUUGAUUGACGUUACUCGCAGAAGAAGCACCGGCUAACUCCGUGCCAGCAGCCGCGGUAAUACGGAGGGUGCAAGCGUUAAUCGGAAUUACUGGGCGUAAAGCGCACGCAGGCGGUUUGUUAAGUCAGAUGUGAAAUCCCCGCGCUUAACGUGGGAACUGCAUUUGAAACUGGCAAGCUAGAGUCUUGUAGAGGGGGGUAGAAUUCCAGGUGUAGCGGUGAAAUGCGUAGAGAUCUGGAGGAAUACCGGUGCGAAGGCGGCCCCCCUGGACAAAGACUGACGCUCAGGUGCGAAAGCGUG